rnacentral:rRNA from 1 species
AGAAUUGACGGGGCCGCACAAGCGGUGGAGCAUGUGGUUAAUUCGACGCAACGCGAAGAACCUUACCAGGGCUUGACAUCCCCUGACCGCGUAUGAAAGUACGUUUUCACCCUCGGGUGACAGGGAGACAGGUGGUGCAUGGUUGUCGUCAGCUCGUGUCGUGAGAUGUUGGGUUAAGUCCCGCAACGAGCGCAACCCCUACGUUUAGUUGCUAACAGGUGAAGCUGAGCACUCUAGACGAACUGCCGUUGACAAAACGGAGGAAGGUGGGAUGACGUCAAAUCAUCAUGCCCCUUAUGUUCUGGGCUACACACGUGCUACAAUGGCCGGUACAGACGGACGCAAAGCCGCGAGGUGGAGCAAAUCCUAAAAAGCCGGUCUCAGUUCGGAUUGCAGGCUGCAAUUCGCCUGCAUGAAGUCGGAAUCGCUAGUAAUCGCAGGUCAGCAUACUGCGGUGAAUACGUUCCCGGGCCUU